rnacentral:lncRNA from 1 species
AGGUGAUUGGGAUCUGGAGAGUGAGCUGUGUUCAGGGGAUCUAGGUGUUUGAGAGUGUGAGCUGGAAAGUGAGCUGCGUUCAGGGGAUCUACGUGUUUGAGAGUGUGAGUUGGAAGCAGACAUUCAAGACAAAGGUGUUAAAGUUGGGAGGUCCUUUCUUCAUCUCUGGAGGUGGCAGUUGUUGACUAUGACCAUCCACAGUCAUCAACAUGCUUUUUUUACCCUGAAGCUGUCGAAAAAUACUGUGACUUAUGAGGAUUUUGAAAAAGAUAUGAUGGCAGUACGUGAGCAGGGCGUCCAACUGCUCCGGUGUCAUCUGAAUGUUGGAUUGAAAGAUUCAGGCGAUGGCACACUUCAUCCAAAUUGCUGAACACUACAGGGUCAACCUCUGUGUCAGUAGACGCAGCUAACUGGAAGUAAUUGUCAGCCAGAGACUCCACACAAAAAAGUACAUCAUCAUUCAGCACUAGCAUUUUCAGCUAGGUUAGCCAACACUCUCAGAUCUCUGCUUAUCUCUUGAUUAAAAUUAAACGCAAUGUUUUAAAAUGCUGGCUUUUACUUUCAAGGUUUCCUUUCUCAUUAUCAUACAAAAGUGACAUAGUAAUUUGUGCUGCUGUAAGAAUACUAGUGGCAGUGAGGGAAGUUUUAUUGGAAUUCAGUAAUUGAGGACAGAAAGGAAAAAGCAUGGUUAACACCUUAGAGGUUUUGUAUACCAAACAAGGCUAGAAAGGUCCAUUUGAAGGUGCUACAUAAUAUACAUCCAACAAAUGCCUUGAUUUCGAAGUUCACAGAUGUGGAAGAGAAUUGCUCUGUUUGUGGUAAUAAAUCUGAAUUGCUGUGUCGCCUUUUUUAUGAAUGUAAUGUAAUACCCAAAUUCUGGAAUGAUCUUGUUGUAUAUUUCUCAAAUAAGUCUGUUUAACUUUACCUUGAGC